rnacentral:hammerhead_ribozyme from 1 species
AUCCAGAUGACGAGUCACGAAUAAGACGAAACGCGCGUCAAACUGGAU